rnacentral:rRNA from 1 species
CUCCGUAGGGUUAACCUGCGGAGGGAUCAUUACCGAGUUUACAACUCCCAAACCCCUGUGAACAUACCAAUUGUUGCCUCGGCGGAUCAGCCCGCUCCCGGUAAAACGGGACGGCCCGCCAGAGGACCCCUAAACUCUGUUUCUAUAUGUAACUUCUGAGUAAAACCAUAAAUAAAUCAAAACUUUCAACAACGGAUCUCUUGGUUCUGGCAUCGAUGAAGAACGCAGCAAAAUGCGAUAAGUAAUGUGAAUUGCAGAAUUCAGUGAAUCAUCGAAUCUUUGAACGCACAUUGCGCCCGCCAGUAUUCUGGCGGGCAUGCCUGUUCGAGCGUCAUUUCAACCCUCAAGCCCCCGGGUUUGGUGUUGGGGAUCGGCGAGCCCUUGCGGCAAGCCGGCCCCGAAAUCUAGUGGCGGUCUCGCUGCAGCUUCCAUUGCGUAGUAGUAAAACCCUCGCAACUGGUACGCGGCGCGGCCAAGCCGUUAAACCCCCAACUUCUGAAUGUGACCUCGGAUCAGGUAGA